AUACCCAUUACUACAUUGGAUGGCAUUAAAAUCGAGGAUGCCUCCCUGGCUGUUCCUGCAAAACCAAAUAUUUUGUGUCUGCUACCUACAACCCGCGUGGUACUUCUUAAACCUAAACCAAAUUUUAGGCAUCUUAUAUAUGAAGACCUCAUU